AGCGAACGCUGGCGGCAGGCUUAACACAUGCAAGUCGAACGCCCCGCAAGGGGAGUGGCAGACGGGUGAGUAACACGUGGGAACGUACCCUUUGGUUCGGAAUAACUUGGGGAAACUCAAGCUAAUACCGGAUAAGCCCUUAUGGGGAAAGGUUUACUGCCGAAGGAUCGGCCCGCGUCUGAUUAGCUAGUUGGUGAGGUAAUGGCUCACCAAGGCGACGAUCAGUAGCUGGUCUGAGAGGAUGAUCAGCCACACUGGGACUGAGACACGGCCCAGACUCCUACGGGAGGCAGCAGUGGGGAAUAUUGGACAAUGGGGGCAACCCUGAUUCAGCCAUGCCGCGUGAGUGAUGAAGGCCUUAGGGUUGUAAAGCUCUUUUACCCGGGACGAUAAUGACUGUACCGGGAGAAUAGGCCCCGGCUAACUUCGUGCCAGCCGCCGCAGUAA
rnacentral:rRNA from 1 species